AGCAGGAUCAUUUUUGGAGCUUACUACUAAGCACCCAAUUAAAACCAAUGUAAAAGAUACACUUCUGUGUAUAUGUGGGUUAAUACUCAUAAUGGCAGUUUGUUCCCACAUAACCAAAAACAAAAACGAGCAGCCAUUCCCUUUUUUGUAGACAACGUUCAGCGAUGGACAUCUAGGCUCGGUGUUCGAUAAAGGACGCAGCAAAGUGCGUCAAGUGUCACGACUUGCAGAUUCCCGCGAGCUGACAAAUUUCUCAAUGCAAAUAGCGGCCUGACUUUCUAACUGGUCGGCCAUUCAAAGCAGAGUGUUCUUUGCUAAGGCAAUUCAUUGUGUGCGGAGAAGAAGCGAGGGCCAAAAACCCUUUCUUCUUUCUCUUUCUGCAAACACGCAGCCUGAUCCCACCUCUGUUUGGGGUUUCAAGCUGUUGGAAAAGUGCCUUGGCAAGUUGCCUACUGUUAAGGGUCACGGCACCUGGAAACUAACUCCUUUCAGGUCGUGAUAUAUUUCCUUACAAGCUUCUUGUACACCAAACAAGGCAUCCUCUCUUCUUCAACGAAGAGGGGUCAUAAAAAAAUAAUAUCGAAAGAUUUUAUUUUUUUCCCGACCACCUCUGCUUUGUAGGAUUACGCGCUGAACUUAAGCAUAUCAUUAAGCGCAGGAAAAGAAAACAACAGUGAUGCCCACAGUAACGGCGAGUGAACCGGGCACAGCCUAUGCUUGAAUCCGCGGUGGACGGAACCUGAAACCGUGGAAUUGUAGUGCAAAGGACAAUUUGCAGGCCUUGGCAGUGAGACUAAGCAACUCAAGAAAGAUUCACCAAAGAGGGCGAACGUCCCGUAAGUCUCACGCGCCAUUGUCGACACGCUUAUUGUUCCUAAGAGUCGUGCAGUUUGAGAGUGCUGCACAAAUCCGCAGGUGUACUCCUGCGAAGGCUAAAUAUUGCACCGAGACCGAUAGCAAACAAGUAGCGCAAACGAAAGAUGAAAAGCCCUUUGAAAAAAGAGUUAAAAGUCCUUGACAUCGCUGGACGGCACGGGUAUGAGAUCCGCCCGCAUUGGACCUCACGGUCCACAGGCCAGUCACAUUUGGUGCUGUCUGCCGGACUCAGAUUGCGCUGGCCUUCCUUGUGGAGGCACGCGAACUGAAGUUUGAGAGCGCAGUGCAGUGCUGAAAGUGAGAACGGAGGUCUGUUGCUGCUACGGUCUAAUGUUUGCUGAUGGAGGGAGCUCAAGCAUUAGUCUCUACGGGGAUUGGUCUUGAACCUUCUGUUGGCGCAUCUUGGCCGAACGCACCAGCUCCCGACUGGAGUCUGUCUCUUAUCACCCGUCUUGAAACACGGACCAAGGAGUCUACCGGAUGUGCGAGUCAAACGGUGCCAAACCGCAAGGCGAAAUGAAAGUGAUUCCACGAUUACGGGCAAUUUUGUCCCUGUAUGCAGUGGAGCUCGGUCCUGAUCGUACGUGAUAAGGAUCUGAAGUUGAGCACACCCGCUAGGACCCGAAAGAUAGCGAACUUUUCCUGGGCCGGAGGAAGCCAGGGGAAACCUUGGUGGACGUUCGAAUCAAUGCUUACGUGCAAAUCGCUUGUCAGAUCCAGGUAAAGGGGCGAAAGACUAAUCGAGCUAUCUAGUAGCUGGUUCCCUC
rnacentral:misc_RNA from 1 species